GUUCUUCUGAAGUCGCACGUCACCGCUGCGGCAUCGCAGCGGGAGCUUGUCGGUCGCGUGCAUACGGCUUAAAGUAGGACAGCAACUCGUUCAGACAUUGUAAAAACAAGAUAGAAACGUAGUGAAAUUGUUAGAAGACGCGUGUGCAGUAAAAUUAUGUAUAUCGCAUACAAGAAAUAACGAAUGCAGUAACGGAAAUAUGUGCAGCGUGUAGACAAUUGGAAAACAUGGCAACUACUGGUUCGGAGAAAACGUUGAGGAAGCAUAAAUCGAAUAAACCUAGGAAUAGUGCUGAGUUCGCGUCGAGACUUCAAGUUAUAUUACCUUCGGCAGCUGCACGCGAAUAAAUCAAAAUCAAAUACAAAUCCGACUUGUAUUAAGGAUUUGGUGAAUAUACAAAUAACGAAGAAAUGAGAUAUAAACAUGUAAUUCUUCUUUGUUGUGUUUUGGUUUUUAUUAAAAUAUACCCUAGGUGCAUUUGUCCUAAUUUUGACGAGUACACGCUUGAUUUUUUUAUUUUAUUGCAGACAAAACGAGAGAUUUUUUAAACUAAAUUCCAAAGGUUUAUAGGUUUACGGUAGAUAAAGGGUUCAGCGGACAAUUUAUGUUUUCACACUUCCAGUGAGACGAGUCUUGUCGUUAGAUUGGAGUUGCCUACCUCAUUGUUUGUAACAACGUAAUUUAUUUGAUAUUUACUUACAAUUAUAUCAUAUUCCUUUAGAUUAAAUACAAACGACGAUCGUCUGUUUCACUACCAGCACCACGACAAGAUUUAUGGAAACUCUAAAAAUGUUUUAUAACUUUGUGUCCGAUACACGGAACACGACAAGACUUCGCUGCUAUUUAUGAAAUUACUUUUUUGAAUUAUAUCCACUAUAAAUUAAUUAAUUUAAAAAUGUUUACAAAGAGAUACUAACGCUAUGCAAAGUAUUUUUCACAGACACAAAAUCAGUGUCUAAACAUAAAAUUAUACAGCAAUCUGUUCUCAACGUUUCCAUCUUGCCUCAACUUUUACUAUUUCAUCGAUAACUGGGAAUUGUCAUGAUUGUGACUUUAUUGACUGAUUUAGUACUGAAAUUUUUAUUAUGCAUGUCACAUACUA